CUUAGAUUGUAGCGUCUGUGUUCUGCCUCGUGUUAGAAAUCUGGAAAAGAGUAUCUCUGUUUCUUGCUUCAGUUAAUGGAUAUUUUUACUCAACAAGUGCUCCAUCCCAACCGGAAUUAUCUUCCAUUACGGAAUUAUUUCAGUUGCCAAUGAAGGAUUUGGACGAUGCGAAGAACUUUGAAAAGUUACUCCGAGUUCAAAACAACAAAUCAAAAACCAGGACAUUUUUUAUUGGAUUAAGGGGGACUACGAAUACCAUCGUUGGAAGGGUCAUUAAAUCAAUCAUGACCUACGAGUGUGGGAGUUGUUUCUGCUAUGUAGGCCUCAAUGAGGAUACAUUUGCUUUUAAAUCUUCUACUAUUUGUGAUAUUG